rnacentral:lncRNA from 1 species
CGGACGCCCACUGCCAGAGCCUCUCCGUCCAGAGCUCACCGGAACGCGCCGCAGUCGCCAAGCCGGUGAGAAGAGGAGGACGCUGGGCCGUUUUCCAGAUCAAACGCUCCUCCCUUUGGAGGAAGGACUCGAGGUUGCUUUGGCAGCUUUUGCAGACAGGCGCACAGCGGCUGCAGAAAAGCCUCCCCCACGGGGGCCCCGAUCCACAGGCCCGACCAGCGCGGCGGAGAAGGCAGAGGCUCUCGGGGGCACCGCGGGGGCCCCAGGAAGCCUCGGGCGCGGGUCCGAGCGGGGCUGAGGCGCCGCGAUCCCCAGAAGCCGGAGGAGCCCGGGCGGAGCGCCGAGACUUGACGCCGACACAAGGGAAAACCUAGAGGAGAGCAAACGGAGACGGACUUCCGCUUCCGGUUUCCGCCCCGCGCUCAACGUAAGGGGCGGGGCCUCCGGAGCUCAGGGAUCAGGAAGUGCGAUGGAGAUGGGGUCGAACGGGGGCGGCGGCUGCUUGCGCCCAAGAGGCAGGCAUGCUGUUGGACCUGGAUCCAGAGCAGGCUUUUCAAAUAGACCAGGGCCAGAGAGCAGGACCCGAGCUGGAGGACCGAGCGGAGCGCUGGGGACCGAGUUAGAAGCCGGCCGGACGCGGAGGGCGGGGCUUGCGUCAUGGCUGUCCCGGGAGGGCGUGGUUCGGGGCGGGGUCAGAGCCCAGGCUUUGUGUACCGACUGCAGGAAGCUCAUCAAAGGCCUUUCGACUGGCCUUUCUCGUGAUUUCUUCAGCCCGAUGCAGCGGUGUGCACAUGUUAGCAAAGGAGGUCAUCAAGAAGGUGUGACUGCCAGUUGAUACUCAGCUGAACCCAGACAAUCGGAGGCUCCCCACUUCGUCCCCUGUCCUUGGAGUAUGCAUUCUGCUUGCCUUCCCUGUUUCCAGAAACUGCCCCAAAUUCAGCCUUGAGAUAGAAAUGUGGUGCUGAGACUAUCUAGAUGGUGUAUGCGUGAUGGAACUCAGUUAAGGCCUCUGUAUAAACUUAAAGAUUUGCUGGGCAGGUGCAGAAAACUACUCAUCUUGCAGCCGCCCAGACGAGCCUCGUAAGAUCGGCUUGUUUGGGAGAGGUCUUUGUGCACUUCGUGGGAAGCACUACGUCUCUUCUGGAUGCGAACGUCUGCCAGUAUGAAGAGCGGCGGAGAGCCUUGCCCACUGAAGGCGCCCACUGGCUGACGGUCA